rnacentral:tRNA from 1 species
UCCUGGGUGGUCCACUGGCUAAGACUCUGCAUUCCCAAUGCAGUGGGCCUGGGUUCGAUCCCUGCUCAGGGA